rnacentral:lncRNA from 1 species
ACAGUUUUACUUAAGCCAGAUAUCUUACAAUUAUCGGUUAUUAAAAUUUAGUGAUCCAUGCAUGCAAUAAAUACCCAAAUAAUAAUAAAGCCACAGACCCAAGACAUUAAAAAUUACAAAUCAAAACCAAUAAUGAACUUUUAAAAAAUACUUAUUUAAAACAGUCCGAUGUCCGAGGUGAUUCUCCGUAUGUCAAUUCCGAUCCUAGUCUUGAGCAUUACCUGAGAAGUUUGAAAUUAUGGGGUGAGCUAAACUAGCUCAGAGUGAGUCUAUAAUAGUAUAAUCAAACAAUCAUUCAUACAAGAAAAAAUCAUUCAUUGAUACAAUACAUAACAUAAAGUAAUAUCAUUUAAGUAUGUCGUGAGCAUGAUGCAAUGCAAAAAGGUUCUUACCUAUCCAUCCGUUACACACCACGAGUUCCCUAGAACCCUUCUACCAAACUCUAAACAAUGUGAGCAGAGCUAGAUGUGGUUAAACCACCAUUAUAAAUAAUGCAGUUAUACUGUCAAUCAAUAUGCAGACAAGCUGCCAAUUUCAUGGGCAAGGCACCAAUUCAGUAAUUGCAGUUUAAACAACUAAUCAAUAUGCGAUAUAAUCGCCAAUCUGCUCAUUACUCCCGGUGCAGUGCAUUGACUACAUAUAAAUAUGGACUUAAUAUGCCACCAUCAACCAGAAUAACCCACCCCAUGCACAUGCGGUAUGUCAUACAAUAUUUCAAUCAAGUACACGUUUCAUAUUUAUUCUUUCAGUAACAUUGAUUACAUGUCAUCACUAUAACGUUCACAUAUCAAUUUUUUAGUUUCACCAUCAAUACGGUGACAUUUAAUCAUAUCAUCAAUCGUUAACACUUUAGGAAAGUAUUUACAGGGCAUGUAUAAUAGUUUUUCCAUUUAAUACUUUUCAUCACAUUUUAUCCAACAAGAUUUCAGGCAUUCAAUAUCUAUUUACAAAAUAACACAUGUUAUACAUACAAUCAAUCAAACAUCAUAUCAACAAACCUUUCAUAUUAAUAUCAAAUAAUUAACUAUUCAGUCAACCAAAUAAUCUUGCAAACAUGCCAUUUAAUCAAAGAUCAAUAACAUACCUGAUUUAGCCACUUUAACACAUUCACUUAGUUAAUUAAGUAAGCCUGACCAACAAGCUUAAUCCACAUUUAGAUGAUAUAAAAUAUUAUCAAAACAUUCAAUUUUAACAAGUUAAAACCCACACCUUUUUUUCGCACAAUCGCAGCAUACUGACGAAACCCACAGCUUCUCCUUAAGAACUUUAAUCGAGCCUAAAAUAAAAACCAAUAGUUUAUUGAAUUAAUUCACCACUUAAACAAACCUAAACACCCUCUUUUGGGUUCAAUCCCAAUAGCAUAACUAUAAUGAUUUUUCAGAUCUAAAUUAACAAGAUUCCUUACACUGAUUUGAUGCAAAACGUACGCGCGAAUGUCUAACGGCUUCAUUGUUGAUUUGGGUCGCUUAAGUCGGCACCUAACAACAAUAAAUACUGAAAAAUCAAUAGCUAUAAAAUCUUCAAAUUCUUUAAUCCAAUCAAUUAUCAAUUUCCCAACAAUUAAGUCAAAACUACGCACUAGCCCACAAUCAACCACACUUACGCUUCUUGAAUUGUCAGAUCUGAGUCAUUGAAUGAUCAAGAUUGAAUUUUCCUAAAUCACUCAUAAUAGGUAGGAAAAAUUAAAGGAAACAACAGUCCCCUUUUGGUACCUCUUAGCGUGACGCACUACCACCAACGGUGGCAAAUCAGAGUUGAUUUAAAGAGCCAAUUGAAAUAACUUUUAAAGGCUGGAAAAAUACCCAUAAAAUAAUUAAAAAUUACCCCAAUACUUGAUCUAUAAAUUUGGGUAUUCACUUAAAAUAUUCAACAAGAAAAUUAAAUAAAAUAAACACUUACACUAGCUAGAUGAAAGGGGUGGCAAUGAAGCUUCUUGGGCAGCAAUGGAGAUCAUUCUUUGAGAUAAAAUAUUUUAUAUUUAUGGCUGGAAAAAUAAAGAAAAUAGAAUCAAGAAGGAGCAAAAAGAAUGGUGCAAGAACACAUUGCAAAAAGAAGAGAAAUUGAUGAUGAAUCUUGGUGGCUUGGGCGGUAGCACACAAGGGAAGAAAGAAAGAAAAUUGAAGAGAAAAGAGGAGAGAAAGAGGGUGAAUGGCUAGGGUAGGGAAGAUUAACUUAAAGGCUGAAAGUACAAG